rnacentral:rRNA from 1 species
UACGAGGGGCCCAAACGUUAUUCGGAUUUACUGGGCUUAAAGAGUUCGUAGGCGGUGCGGCUAGUGUGGUGUGAAAGCCCUCGGCUCAACCGAGGAAUUGCGCUCCAAACUCCUGGACUCGAGGAAGCUAGAGGUGAGCAGAACUGAUGGUGGAGCGGUGAAAUGCGUAGAUAUCUGGAGGAACACCGGUGGCGAAGGCGGCAUCCUGGACCAAUACUGACGCUGAGGAGCGAAAGCCAGGGGAGCAAACGGG